GGAGAGGUGGCCGAGCGGCUUAAGGCGGCAGUCUCGAAAACUGCUAUGCGGGAAACCGCAUCGGGGGUUCAAAUCCCCCCCUCUCCG
rnacentral:tRNA from 1 species